rnacentral:piRNA from 1 species
UGCUAGGUUACGUUAGAAACAGGUAGCCCUG